rnacentral:sRNA from 1 species
UGGCUGACUGGCUGGCUGGCGAAGCGGAAAAGGGCCAGUUGGCCAGAGGUUAGCCCAUCUCAGUCGCCAAGUCCGAGCUCCCAAUCAAUAUUCGGAGCAACAGCCGGCGGCCAGGCUUUAAGUUGAGCGAUGAUGACAGCUGCGGUGGCGACCACUUAAAGUCGCCGGCGGCCAAAAACACCGGAAGCAGCUAAGCGGAAAUUGGAAAAACCCCCCUCGUCGAGCUCUGGAAAUACUCCGUCUGGCAUUUGUGCGGCACACACAGUUGUUCGUCGUCAGCGGUGGUGAACGGAGUGGAGCGGAGCGGUUCGGAACGAAACGGGGUAUUUGGGUGAAGGCCAAAGGAUGUGUCCACCCCCCCUCCCGGAAUCAGAACCAUAUCACUCAGCCCAAAUGUGAAAGAAAGGAAAAUUGGAAGCCCUAUGCGGAUGGGAUAGUAUGGCUGCGAGAAAGACCCAUCAAUUAGGCCAUAUAACUGCCCUCAAUCGCGUGAAAUGUCAAAUCAAGCAGCUACUUCGGCCGCCCCCUCCGCGAUAAAGAGAACUAUCCAGCAAAUUAAGCGAUCCGCGUCUGUUAAUUGAAGUGCCUGGAAGGCAAACAGAUCGAGUGACUGGAACUGGAGAUUGGAAUUUCAUUCGGGUGAGUUUUAUACGCAGAUAUCUCGGUCAGAUCCAAUCCAGGGUUUACUCAUCACAGUAAUUUAAGUACUUUGCCUGCCACAUGGCCACGUACAUGUACGCACACAUGGCCAGAGCAAACAGCGCGAGUAAUGCCGAAAAUACAUACGCUUAUCGCCCAACAAAUUGCUCACCGAACUGAUAAGAACGCCACAUAACAGAACCAAAACGAAGCGAACAGCAAGGCGACACAAAGAGGGCAGAAAGAGGAGAAGCAGAAGAAGAAGCAGAAGCAGAAGAUGGGGGAUAUGUCAUUGUACUGUUGUUCUCAUGCCUGUCCAUGACGUUUUGGGAUCUAAUCUCGAAAGAGAUCUAUUGGAGAAUCCUUUUCAACUUGGUUUCUUAUAAAGUGAGGGCCUCUAGUUGGGAACUCGAACAAAGAACUAUGAAUAACCAGGAAUAAAUACUUUGAAAUUAGGCCAUUUUAAUGCGAACAUGAUAUAUGUGGAACUUUUUGACGAAAACAUUCUGUUAUAUUUUCGCUGGGGUUUUUUUUUUUUUGAGAUAUCACUUUUAAUGGAAAUCAUGUUCAGUUUUCGAUUCUGAGAAUAAAGUAAGCCAGAAAUGACCAACUACUGAUAUAUUCCCCUUCAAAUGCAAAUUCUAAGAACACUCUGUGUCACAUCCUGUUCUAUAUUUCUAUUCAUUAACAGCAAAAGAUCCCUAGAAACAGGAUAUUCGGGUUUCCUUUGCUACCGAGCAUUGUGUGAACUUUGAACCGUGCUAAGUUCUCGACCGCAAACAUUGAGAAUAACCAGAGCAGUUCGCUGCCAAACUGUAUUUUUUGGCAGCAUUUCCUUUUUUCCUCUUUUUUUCGGCUGUCGCAGUCGCGCUCUCGUGUCAUAAAUUUCGCUUUUAUCAUAUUAUUUAAUUUUGUUAUGUCUGCUUUGGGUUGCCUCUUUGCUGAGCGAAAAAAGCGAACUCCGAGAUACACACAACAAGCACACAGCAGAUACGAAUGCACACACUCAUGGAUGCAGAGGUACAGAUACAACUACAUGCCCCAUUGGGAGCAGCGCAAAAUGAUAGCAGCGAAUGUAUUUGUAUCUCUAUCUGAGCUGCGUGCGGCUGUACGUGUGUGUGCGUGUGUGUGUGGAUGCCACAGCAAUAACAGUUAAUUUAUUCCAAUUAAGGGAUUUUCCUGUUGAAUAUGCGACUCUGUAGAGAAAUCCUCCUCCCUUUCAAAUGAAAUUGUUGAGCCAACGCUCCCUAUAUCUCCUCACCUCUUUUCGGUAUUAUUUUUGCCCAUUUUUUGCGCCAUUUAGCCAGCCAGGUUUUCUAGCUUUUUUCCACGAAUUGUUUGUUCGCCCGCGGGGAAUUCGCUCUCUGUUUGUUGUUAGUUAGUUGUCCCGUCUUCUGUUGCGCCACAUUUUUUCAUUACAUUACACAUUUACAGCCAGAGUGGAAAAAAAUUAGCAACAUGUCGCACGUUUUUUCCCACGUAUCCUUGCGGGAUUUGCUGUCGGCUUUGUCCUUGUGCUAAUUUCGUGAGCCGCCCCCAGCUAAUUUUGUUUAUGUUUUCAUUUAUUUUCCACAUCCUCUGCGCGCAAACAUUUUAAUAAAUUCCCUCGCCGGAGCCAAAACAAUUUCCAAAUAGCUCAAAGAGUUGCCCGAUUGAGGAGGGAGUGGGGCCAGUCGAAACGGAAGCGAAAUUUAU